AGUGAACGCUGGCGGCGUGCCUAAUACAUGCAAGUCGAACGGAGUGGCGAACGGGUGAGUAAUAUAUAGCUAAUCUGCCCCUUGCUGGAGGACAACAGUUAGAAAUGACUGCUAAUACUCCAUAGCAAGGGAUGAGACUAUAUCGUAUCAGCUAGUCGGUGGGGUAACGGCCUACCGCGGCUAUGACGCGUCACUGGUCUGAGAGGAUGAUCAGGCACAUGGGAACUGACACACGGUCCAAACUCCUAGGGGAGGGAGCAGUAGGGAAUAGUGCGCAAUGGGGGAAACCCUGACGCAGCAACGCCGCGUGGAGGAUUACACUUUUCGGAGCGAUAACUCCUUUUGGUAGGGAAGCGGUACCUAACGAAUAAGCACCGGCUAACUCCGUGCCAGCAGCCGCGGUAAUUC
rnacentral:rRNA from 1 species